rnacentral:rRNA from 1 species
UACGAGAGGUGCAAGCGUUAUUCGGAAUUAUUGGGCGUAAAGGGCGCGUAGGCGGUUUGUUAAGUUUGUUGUUAAAGCCUCUGGCUUAACUAGAGAUCAGCAAUAAAAACUGGCAAACUAGAGUGUGAGAGAGAGAAGUGGAAUUCCCGGAGUAGCGGUAAAAUGCGUAGAUCUCGGGAGGAACACCAAUGGCGAAGGCUGCUUCUUGGUUCACAACUGACGCUGAGGCGCGAAAGCGUGGGGAGCAAACAGG